rnacentral:rRNA from 1 species
AUACGUAGGGAGCGAGCGUUGUCCGGAAUUACUGGGCGUAAAGGGCGCGUAGGCGGCGCUUCAAGUCGUCUGUCAAAUGGGAGGGCUUAACCCUUUUUCGCAGACGAAACUGGAGAGCUUGAGAAGCAGAGAGGCAAACAGAAUUCCUGGUGUAGCGGUGAAAUGCGUAGAUAUCAGGAAGAAUACCAGUGGCGAAGGCGGUUUGCUGGCUGCAUACUGACGCUGAAGCGCGAAAGCCAGGGGAGCAAACGGGAUUAGAUACCCCGGUAGUCCUGGCAGUAAACGAUGUAUGCUGGGUGUGAGACUAGCGAUAGUUUCGUGCCGAAGUUAACGCGAUAAGCAUACCGCCUGGGGAGUACGGUCGCAAGAUUGAAACUUAAAGGAAUUGACGGGG